UUAAACAUUCUCUAAGACACCUCUGACUCAGCAUACUGUGUCUAAAACCACAUAGUAUAUUUAUUUUUAAAACACUUGUAAAAGUUUGCGCCUUCCAGUCACCCCUGGGAUGAAGGUUUGUAAAAAUAAAGAGCACUUUCUUCCUUAAGAUGAAGAAUCCUUGAAUAAGCAGAAAGAGGCCAAGAUGCAGGUGAUUUAUUUAAGUCUGUGUCAAUGAUAAUGAUGUCAUGGUUUCCAGCACACUGUGUCCACCCCAUUGUGGGACGAAAGAAUGUCAAGGACAAUUCCAAACACAAAACUUUGAUUGUGCUGGAACCGGAAAGGCACAGUAAGAACUCCACUGCGCUCUUCAGUUCAAAACCUGCAUCCUGCAGACAAACUCCAGAAAGCAUGGGAGAAAGAGCAAAGGUUAUUGUCUAUAUUGUGUGUUUUGAACAAUAAAUAAGAAAAAUAUUUUAUCAGAAGAAAAAUGUGUUAUCUCAGAGUCAGGAUAAACAAUGAGUAGCUUUUUAAGACCAAUUUCUUUUCAUUAGACAUCAAGG
rnacentral:lncRNA from 1 species